UACGUAGGGCGCAAGCGUUGUCCGGAAUUAUUGGGCGUAAAGAGCUCGUAGGCGGUUUGUCGCGUCUGUCGUGAAAGCCCACGGCUUAACCGUGGGUCUGCGGUGGACACGGGCAGACUAGAGGCAGGUAGGGGAGAAUGGAAUUCCCGGUGUAGCGGUGAAAUGCGCAGAUAUCGGGAGGAACACCGGUGGCGAAGGCGGUUCUCUGGGCCUGUACUUACGCUGAGGAGCGAAAGCGUGGGGAGCGAACAGG
rnacentral:rRNA from 1 species